rnacentral:rRNA from 1 species
GUGGGGAAUCUUGCGCAAUGGGCGAAAGCCUGACGCAGCCAUGCCGCGUGAAUGAUGAAGGUCUUAGGAUUGUAAAAUUCUUUCACCGGGGACGAUAAUGACGGUACACGGCGAAGAAGCUCCGGCUAACUUCGUGCUAGCAGCCGCGGUAAUACGAAGGGGGCAAGCGUUAUCCGGAUUUACUGGGUGUAAAGAGAGCGUAGACGGUAUGGUAAGUCAGAUGUGAAAGCCCGGGGCUCAACCUCGGGACUGCAUUUGAAACUAGCAGACUAGAGAGCAGGGGAGGUAAGUGGAAUUCCUAGUGUAGCGGUGAAAUGCGUAGAUAUUAGAAGGAACACCAGUGGCGAAGGCGGCUUACUGGACUGUAACUGACAUUGAGGCUCGAAAGCGUGGGGAGCAAACAGGAUUAGAUACCCCGGUAGUCC